CCAAUAGCGUAUAUUAAAGUUGUUGCAGUUAAAAAGCUCGUAGUUGAAUUUCGGGAUUGACACAUCGGUCGUGCCCUAAGGGGUAUGAACUGGUGUAGUCAGUUUCUCACCUUCUGGAGAACCGCGAUGUCCUUAAUUGGGUGCCGCGAGGAACCAGGACCUUUACUUUGAAAAAAUUAGAGUGUUUAAAGCAGGCAUUUUGCUUGAAUACAUUAGCAUGGAAUAAUAAAAUAGGACGGAUGGUUCUAUUUUGUUGGUUUCUAGGAUCACCGUAAUGAUUAAUAGGGAUAGUUGGGGGCAUUAGUAUUCAAUUGUCAGAGGUGAAAUUCUUGGAUUUAUUGAAGACUAACUACUGCGAAAGCAUUUGCCAAGGAUGUUUUCAUUAAUCAAGAACGAAAGUUAGGGGAUCGAAGACGAUCAGAUACCGUCGUAGUCUUAACCAUAAACUAUGCCGACUAGGAAUCAGACGAUGUUAAAUUUUUUAAUGACUCGUUUGGCACCUUACG
rnacentral:rRNA from 1 species